AUUAAGUUAGUUUAAAAAUAAAACCUCAGGUUGUGGUCCUGAAAAUAAAGCAAUUUAACCUUUACUUAAUA
rnacentral:tRNA from 1 species